AUCAAGUGCUUCAGAAGACUGAGAAUUGAACCUUGGAUUCAGUAACAUGGAGCAUCAUGAAAUUUGACCUCUUCAGCCAUGCAUGGUUAACACUCCAUCUAUCUGAGUAAAUCCUGCCUUGAAGAAUCUUGAGUGCAAACCAGUUUGAGAGAGAAGAGGAAAAAUAAAUGUCUCACAUGAGCCCAGGGAAUGCUGUCAUCCAAAAUUACUGUGCAAAACAGCCCAUGUCUCAUGGUCAGCCCUGGGCUAGACAGCUUGAAGGUAGAAUCGCCCGCAUAACUAAUGCAAUGUGACAGGCACAACUGGACUCAGAAUUUUCACAAAAAUCAUUGGAGUCAUGCUCUGUCUUCCAGGCUGGAAUGCAGUGGUAUGAUCACAACUCACAACUCACGGCAUCCUCUACCUCCUGAGCUCAAGG